UACAGAGGGUGCAAGCGUUGUUCGGAAUUAUUGGGCGUAAAGGGCGCGUAGGCGGUGCCACAAGUCACCUGUGAAAUCUCCGGGCUUAACUCGGAGCCUGCAGGCGAAACUGUGGUGCUGGAGUGUGGGAGAGGUGCGUGGAAUUCCCGGUGGAGUGGUGAAAUGCGUAGAGAUCGGGAGGAACACCAGUGGCGAAGGCGGCCGGCUGGGGGUGCCCUGACGCUGAGGCGCGAAAGCGUGGGGAGCGAACCGG
rnacentral:rRNA from 1 species